AGUGAACGCUGGCGGCAGGCCUAACACAUGCAAGUCGAACGGCAGCACAGUAAGAGCUUGCUCUUACGGGUGGCGAGUGGCGGACGGGUGAGGAAUACAUCGGAAUCUACUUUUUCGUGGGGGAUAACGUAGGGAAACUUACGCUAAUACCGCAUACGACCUACGGGUGAAAGCAGGGGAUCUUCGGACCUUGCGCGAUUGAAUGAGCCGAUGUCGGAUUAGCUAGUUGGCGGGGUAAAGGCCCACCAAGGCGACGAUCCGUAGCUGGUCUGAGAGGAUGAUCAGCCACACUGGAACUGAGACACGGUCCAGACUCCUACGGGAGGCAGCAGUGGGGAAUAUUGGACAAUGGGCGCAAGCCUGAUCCAGCCAUACCGCGUGGGUGAAGAAGGCCUUCGGGUUGUAAAGCCCUUUUGUUGGGAAAGAAGGGCAGCAGGUUAAUACCCCGCUGUUCUGACGGUACCCAAAGAAUAAGCACCGGCUAACUUCGUG
rnacentral:rRNA from 1 species